GGGAGUAUAGCUCAGUGGUAGAGUGCGUGCUUAGCAUGCACUAGGUCCUGGGUUCAAUCCCCAGUACCUCCA
rnacentral:tRNA from 1 species